CCUACGGGUGGCAGCAGUAGGGAAUUUUGCGCAAUGGGCGAAAGCCUGACGCAGCAACGCCGCGUGAUCGAGACGCCCUUCGGGGUGUAAAGAUCUGUCAGUGGGGACGAAACUUGACGGUACCCACCGAGGAAGCACCGGCUAACUCCGUGCCAGCAGCCGCGGUAAUACGGGGGGUGCAAGCGUUGUCCGGAUUCAUUGGGCGUAAAGAGUUCGUAGGCGGCACGUAAAGUCUGGUGUUAAAGGCAGAGGCGCAACUUCUGUACGGCACUGGAUACUUGCGAGCUAGAAUGCGGUAGAGGUAAAGGGAAUUCCUGGUGUAGCGGUGAAAUGCGUAGAUAUCAGGAGGAACAGCAGUGGCGUAAGCGCUUUACUGGGCCGUAAUUGACGCUGAGGAACGAAAGCCAGGGUAGCAAAUGGGAGUAGAUACCCUUGUAGUC
rnacentral:rRNA from 1 species